CAGCCGCCACGGUAAUACGUAGGUCCCGAGCGUUGUCCGGAUUUAUUGGGCGUAAAGCGAGCGUAGGCGGUUUGAUAAGUCUGAAGUUAAAGGCUGUGGCUCAACCAUAGUUCGCUUUGGAAACUGUCAAACUUGAGUGCAGAAGGGGAGAGUGGAAUUCCAUGUGUAGCGGUGAAAUGCGUAGAUAUAUGGGGGAACACCGGUGGCGAAAGCGGCUCUCUGGCUUGUAACUGACGCUGAGGCUCGAAAGCGUGGGGAGCAAACAGGAUUAGAUACCCCUGUAGUCCCUGUCUCUUAUACC
rnacentral:rRNA from 1 species